GCCAAUCAGCGUUAUUCUGCUGACGUAUGUCGUCACUGACCGCUACGUAUCUCGUGAUUGGCUACGGCCUUGUGGGAGGAGCGCAGAGAGGCGGAGAAAGGAAGUCUGAACAGAUUUAAGCCAAGUUUGAACCAUUGCCUCUGUUUGCUAGUGCGGUGAGAUAACGUCGGUAUCGAUGCGGCCUGGAAGCUAAAACAAACCCCGGAGCUGCUUUUUUGUCGUUAAUGAAGAGGUCUGGAAGCUAAAACAAACCCUGGAGCUGCUCUUUUGUCGUUAAUGAAGAGGUCUGGAAGCUAAAACAAACCCUGGAGCUGCUCUUUUGUGAGACUGAUCACUGAACACACCUGCGGCCUGUUUACUGGUUCAGCUGCUGCAGCCUGGACACAAACACCAGCUCUCACCUCACAAACCAAACAGGUGUCACCACUUCGUCCACAACAUCGUCCAUGAUCUGAGAGAUGUUGUCCACAAUCAUAGAGACAUCGUCCAUGAUCGCAGAGACAUGGUCUGGAACUGGAGAGACAUUGUUGAGGAUGAGGGAGACAUCAUCCAUGACUCGUAGACGGGCAAAAAUUGAUGGAGUUCCCCAAUUUGACGGCAUCAUCCGUGUUCAGAGAGACAUUGUUGAUGUUCAUUGAUCAUUGUUGAUCACAGUGACAUUGUCCACAAUCUCAGAGACAUUGUCUGCAAUCACAGAGAUGUCAUCCAUGAUCACAGAGAGUCUUCGUACAAUGAAGAAGUUCUUUGAGACCAGGACAGGUAAUUAUGCUUUACACCAACUGUCCAACACUGAUCUGAAGUCUUAAUCAAGUUUGAUUUGUCACAAAGACUUCACUCAUUAAACUAUAUUUACAUAGUUCAUGAAAGUACAGUUCAAAGAAAUUGAAGAAUUUAAAUAUCAGCGCUAUCUCUGUCUCUCUCCCUUGUUCUUUUACUCUUUCUCUCUUUCUAUCUCGUACCCCUUCUCUCUCUGCCUCCAAGCAAAUAUUUGACAUUCUUGGUUUGAAAAAUUAUGUAUCAGAAUAGUUGUUAAUGUUUUGUCUCUGGACAAAUUGACUGUAGCUCUCCUCCGUUUUUUGGCAAGUUGUGAUGCCUUACUACACUGAUCUUUUUUGGCUGUUUUUUGAUGUUUUUUGAUACUAUGACAUUUUUUGACUGUUUUUGACUGUUUUUGACGCCAUACUAUACUGUGACAUUUUUUCAUGUUUUUUGAUGCCAUACUAUACUAUGACAUUUUUUGACUGUUUUUGACACCAUACUAUACUAUGACAUUUUUUCAUGUUUUUUGAUGCCAUACUAUACUAUGACAUUUUUUGACUUUUUGACACCAUACUAUACUAUGACAUUUUUUGAUGCCAUACUAUACUAUGAGAUUUUUUCAUGUUUUUUUGAUGCCAUACUAUACUAUGACAUUUUAUGACUGUUUUUGACUGUUUUUGACACCAUACUAUACUGUGACAUUUUUUUGAGUUUUUUUUACACCAUACUAUACUAUGACAUUUUUGCAGGAUUUUUGACCCCAUAUUAUACUGUGACGUUUUUAGAGAGUUUUUGACGCCUUACUAUACUAUGACAUUUUUUAAUGUUUUUUGAUGCCAUACUAUACUAUGACAUUUUUUGAUGCCAUACUAUACUAUGAGAUUUUUUUACUAUUUUUGGCGCCAUACAAUACUAUGACAUUUUUUGAGUCAAGUUAGAUUUUGUUUUUGACAUUUCAUGUUGAUAUUAUGUGAUUUUCAAUAUCAGUACUAAUAUCCUACAUCUUUCUGUGUACAUAGUCCAGUUCAUAUUGGUCAUUUUAUUUAUGCUUAUAUAUUAUUUAAUAUUUUGUAUCUUGUCUUGUUUAUAUCAUGCCUUUUUCUAUUUUUGCUGCUUUUAUACUGAAUUACCUUGCUGUAGGACUAAUAAUGAUUUGUUACUCUUACCCAAAUAAAUAUUUCUG